GGGGGUUUAAUGUCAUAUAGAGAGAAUAGGUUCUCAUAUUCAGGUAGAGUUGUUGUCCGAGAUAUUAGCAUUGAUCCAGAUCUUCUAACUUGGUCGAUUUUUGAGGACUUCAUCAAAGACAGAGGAAUUGAGAGUAAGGUAGAGCAUGUUUGGUACAAACUACCCACUGAAGAUAUUUCUGUGUCAAGAUCGAUCUACAAAGAUAAAGAUUCUGAGAUUAGAAAGCUGUGUGAAGAAACUAAAGGAGUUGGAGAGAUUGAUUUGUUUAUUUCUUAUGGUGAGAGGGCUGAUGUGGAUGUUGAUGGAGAUGCUGAAGUUGAAGAUCGGGAAGAUGGUUCAGAAAGCAGUGAGGAAGAUAGUGAGGAUGGUGAAAACAGAGAGGAACAGAGUGAUGAUGAAAACAGAGACGAAGAUAGUGAGGAUGAAGAAAAUAAUGAGAGUGAAAACAGAGAGGAACAAGAGAAGGCAGAUGAAGGUGGGCAACAAUCUGAAGGUGAAGAUCAGAUUCUAGAUGUAGGAUCUAGUGAUCCUCGAUUCACAAACUUGUUCCAACAAGCUGAACAGGUCGAAGCUACACAAACUAUGGUAAAUGAUGAAGUGGAAUCUGACAGUGAAAGUGAAGAUGAAGUACCUUUUGGAGCUGGUGAGUAUCCUGAUUCUCCGAUCGAUACUGAUGAAGAGUGGACAAAUUUUCACAAAGAAAAAAAAAGUUAGAAGAAAGAAAAAAGGAAACCCACAACGAAGUCGUGCUGAUUAUGACAAUCCUCCAUAUUUGUGGUUGAUGCAAACAUUUAAUAAUGGUGAUGAAUUCAGAGAUCAAUUGCUGAAGUAUGUGUUGAAGACACAAUAUGAUGUAAAGCUUAAUAGAUGGGAGUCCACUAAGCAAGCAGCUGUGUGCACCCAUGAGAAGUGCAAAUGGAGGAUCUAUUGUUCUGUUGAGAAACCAAUUCGAAAAUGGAUGGUUAAAGUAUACGAAGACAUCCAUUGUCAUUUGCCUACGGGAAGAGCUAGGAUGUUGAAACAAGGUACCAUUGCAAGAUUGUUUAAAGAAGAGGCAAGAAGAAGACCUGACAUAAGGAGUACAGAUAUCAAAGAUGAGUUGAUGUACGUGUACAAUGUCUCAGUUUCAAUAUUCAAGUGCAGAAAAGCCAGAAGGAUUGCCUUAGAUAUGGUGUUAGAAACACAAAAACAACAAUUUGCAAAAUUAUGGGAGUACACGAAGCUGAAUUGGUGCGAUCUAAUAAGGACAUUAGUACAGAAAUUGUCACUGUCGAGAAGGAAAGCAAGCAGGUAUUUGAAAGCUUUUAUGUAUGCUUUGAACCCCUCAGGAGAAGCUGGAGAACAUAUUGCCGCCCUCUGAUUGGUCUAGAUGGUGCUUUUUUUUGAAGUGGGAACUGAAAGGAGAGAUACUCGCAGCAGUUGGCAGAGAUGCAGAAAGUUAGAGGAGAGAACAAAGAAUCGUGGGAGUGGUUUAUUAAAAAGUUGCAGGUUGACUUAAAUUUGGGUUUAGGAGAUGGAUUUUCCUUUAUUUCUGACAGACAAAAGGGUUUACAAAUUGCUCUGGCAAACGUUCUCCCAAAUGCAGAGCAUAGAAAUUGUGCAAGACAUGUUUAUGGUAAUUGGAAGAAGACUUAUGGUAGUGAUGACUACAGACCAUUCUUCUGGAAUGUGGCUUAUAGUCGAACACGUGGAGAGUAUGAUUUGCAUAUGGACGAGCUGCGUGCACUUGACAGAGAAGCACAUGAUGCUUUGUUAGCAGCCGCACCAGAAACCUGGUGCCUUGCUUUCUUCUCCAAAACUGCUAGAUCUGUUGAUGUUUGUAACAAUUUAUCAGAGAGAAGAAAACCGAGAAGACAGCAAAGCACUGUACGAUCAUAACAAGUUCUGAUAACUUGUUUGAAGUUGUUUUGUACGGCUGCAGCUAUGAGGUCAGUCUUCGGUUGAAACAUUGUGUUUGUAGGGCGUGGGACCUCACAGGCAUCCCUUGUUCACACGCAAUCCGUGUUAUCAACGACUGCCAUCAAGAUCCAGAAAAUCAUGUUGAAAAUUGUUACAAGACUUCAGUUUGGAUAGAAAAUUACAGAGAUAAACAUAAGGCCAGUAAAUGGAGAAAUAUUUUGGGAAAAAAACUGGAAAAGAUCCCAUUGGAGUGCUGGGUUUUAGAAAGAUGCCAGGGCGUCCUAAGAAAAAGAGGAUAAAAGCAGCACAUGAAUCACCUUCCAAACCCAACAGAGUGACUCGUGGAGGCAGAACAAUCACAUGUCGUAAUUGUAAACAAGUUGGACAUAAUCGAGCAACAUGUAAGAAUGCAUCUUAUGUGGUUCAAGGCCCAAAACGAAAACAUGGUAGACCUUGGAAAACACAUGUUGAAGGAGAAAGCCUCUCAAAUCCACAAAAAAAGACGCAAGAAAACUCAGUCACUGUCGCCAUGUCCAGCUUCAAUCCCAAUACCUGUAGUUUCUUCUUCACAGACAUCUUCAUAUACAGCACCUGAAACAUCAACAAGCACAUCUUCACGUGGACGUGGACGUGGGCGUGGGCGUGGUCGUCCUCCUGGAAAAGUACAAGCCCGCAAGGAGACAGUUCCCAGGGGUCAUGGAGUGUACGUAAGUCCAUUCACUAAUAGAGUAUUCGAAGUUUGGGGAGACAGAGCACGAGUUGUAGGACAAAGUUCUUCUCAUGGACUUAUGGGACAAAACACAGCUAAGAAUCCUCCAGAAAAAUGCUCUUCUCGUGGUCGUAACUAGUUUCUCGGUUUGGUUUGAAACUGAA